rnacentral:misc_RNA from 1 species
UCCGGUUUGUCACCGGCAGUCUCGCAUGAGUCCCCAGCCUAACUGCUGGCAACAUGCGACGGGGGUUGCGCUCGUUGCGGGACUUAACCCAACAUCUCACGACACGAGCUGACGACAGCCAUGCACCACCUGUGACGGUCCAGCCAAACUGACCCCGUGUUUCCACGGGUAUGACCGACAUGUCAAACCCAGGUAAGGUUCUUCGCGUUGCGUCGAAUUAAACCACAUGCUCCGCUGCUUGUGCGGGUCCCCGUCAAUUCCUUUGAGUUUUAGCCUUGCGGCCGUACUCCCCAGGCGGGGUGCUUAAUGCGUUAGCUUCGGCACAGAGCGGGUCAAACGCCGCCCCACACCUAGCACCCAACGUUUACAGCUAGGACUAC